rnacentral:rRNA from 1 species
UACGAAGGGGGCUAGCGUUGCUCGGAAUCACUGGGCGUAAAGCGCACGUAGGCGGCUUCUUAAGUCAGGGGUGAAAUCCUGGAGCUCAACUCCAGAACUGCCUUUGAUACUGAGAAGCUUGAGUUCGGGAGAGGUGAGUGGAACUGCGAGUGUAGAGGUGAAAUUCGUAGAUAUUCGCAAGAACACCAGUGGCGAAGGCGGCUCACUGGCCCGAUACUGACGCUGAGGUGCGAAAGCCAGGGGAGCAAACGGG